rnacentral:rRNA from 1 species
GGGUUGUGAGGUUAAGCGACUAAGCGUACACGGUGGAUGCCCUGGCAGUCAGAGGCGAUGAAGGGCGUGCUAAUCUGCGAUAAGCGUCGGUAAGGUGAUAUGAACCGUUAUAACCGGCGAUACCCGAAUGGGGAAACCCAGUGUGAUUCGUCACACUAUCAUUAACUGAAUCCAUAGGUUAAUGAGGCGAACCGGGGGAACUGAAACAUCUAAGUACCCCGAGGAAAAGAAAUCAACCGAGAUUCCCCCAGUAGCGGCGAGCGAACGGGGAGGAGCCCAGAGCCUGAAUCAGCAUGUGUGUUAGUGGAAGCGUCUGGAAAGGCGCGCGAUACAGGGUGACAGCCCCGUACACAAAAGCGCAUGUGCUGUGAGCUCGAUGAGUAGGGCGGGACACGUGGUAUCCUGUCUGAAUAUGGGGGGACCAUCCUCCAAGGCUAAAUACUCCUGACUGACCGAUAGUGAACCAGUACCGUGAGGGAAAGGCGAAAAGAACCCCGGCGAGGGGAGUGAAAAAGAACCUGAAACCGUGUACGUACAAGCAGUGGGAGCACAGGUUUACCUGUGUGACUGCGUACCUUUUGUAUAAUGGGUCAGCGACUUAUAUUCUGUAGCAAGGUUAACCGUAUAGGGGAGCCGCAGGGAAACCGAGUCUUAAUUGGGCGUUAAGUUGCAGGGUAUAGACCCGAAACCCGGUGAUCUAGCCAUGGGCAGGUUGAAGGUUGGGUAACACUAACUGGAGGACCGAACCGACUAAUGUUGAAAAAUUAGCGGAUGACCUGUGGCUGGGGGUGAAAGGCCAAUCAAACCGGGAGAUAGCUGGUUCUCCCCGAAAGCUAUUUAGGUAGCGCCUCGUGAAUUCAUCUCCGGGGGUAGAGCACUGUUUCGGCUAGGGGGCCAUCCCGGCUUACCAACCCGAUGCAAACUGCGAAUACCGGAGAAUGUUAUCACGGGAGACACACGGCGGGUGCUAACGUCCGUCGUGAAGAGGGAAACAACCCAGACCGCCAGCUAAGGUCCCAAAGUCAUGGUUAAGUGGGAAACGAUGUGGGAAGGCCCAGACAGCCAGGAUGUUGGCUUAGAAGCAGCCAUCAUUUAAAGAAAGCGUAAUAGCUCACUGGUCGAGUCGGCCUGCGCGGAAGAUGUAACGGGGCUAAACCAUGCACCGAAGCUGCGGCAGCGAACGUAUCACUUAAAGCGAUUCAGCGGGUUACGAUUGACGGAGCGAAGCGACGUCAAAGCGUAUACAAAGUCGAGUCGGUUUAAGGAUACGUUCGUUGGGUAGGGGAGCGUUCUGUAAGCCUGUGAAGGUGGCCUGUGAGGGUUGCUGGAGGUAUCAGAAGUGCGAAUGCUGACAUAAGUAACGAUAAAGCGGGUGAAAAGCCCGCUCGCCGGAAGACCAAGGGUUCCUGUCCAACGUUAAUCGGGGCAGGGUGAGUCGACCCCUAAGGCGAGGCCGAAAGGCGUAGUCGAUGGGAAACGGGUUAAUAUUCCCGUACUUGGUGUUACUGCGAAGGGGGGACGGAGAAGGCUAUGUUGGCCGGGCGACGGUUGUCCCGGUUUAAGCGUGUAGGUGUGUGUUCCAGGUAAAUCCGGUUCACUUUAACACUGAGGCGUGACGACGAGGCACUACGGUGCUGAAGCAACAAAUGCCCUGCUUCCAGGAAAAGCCUCUAAGCAUCAGGUAACAUCAAAUCGUACCCCAAACCGACACAGGUGGUCAGGUAGAGAAUACCAAGGCGCUUGAGAGAACUCGGGUGAAGGAACUAGGCAAAAUGGUGCCGUAACUUCGGGAGAAGGCACGCUGACACGUAGGUGAAGUGAUUUACUCACGGAGCUGAAGUCAGUCGAAGAUACCAGCUGGCUGCAACUGUUUAUUAAAAACACAGCACUGUGCAAACACGAAAGUGGACGUAUACGGUGUGACGCCUGCCCGGUGCCGGAAGGUUAAUUGAUGGGGUCAGCGCAAGCGAAGCUCCUGAUCGAAGCCCCGGUAAACGGCGGCCGUAACUAUAACGGUCCUAAGGUAGCGAAAUUCCUUGUCGGGUAAGUUCCGACCUGCACGAAUGGCGUAAUGAUGGCCAGGCUGUCUCCACCCGAGACUCAGUGAAAUUGAACUCGCUGUGAAGAUGCAGUGUACCCGCGGCAAGACGGAAAGACCCCGUGAACCUUUACUAUAGCUUGACACUGAACAUUGAGCCUUGAUGUGUAGGAUAGGUGGGAGGCUUUGAAGCGUGGACGCCAGUCUGCGUGGAGCCGACCUUGAAAUACCACCCUUUAAUGUUUGAUGUUCUAACGUGGACCCGUUACCCGGGUUGCGGACAGUGUCUGGUGGGUAGUUUGACUGGGGCGGUCUCCUCCUAAAGAGUAACGGAGGAGCACGAAGGUUGGCUAAUCCUGGUCGGACAUCAGGAGGUUAGUGCAAUGGCAUAAGCCAGCUUGACUGCGAGCGUGACGGCGCGAGCAGGUGCGAAAGCAGGUCAUAGUGAUCCGGUGGUUCUGAAUGGAAGGGCCAUCGCUCAACGGAUAAAAGGUACUCCGGGGAUAACAGGCUGAUACCGCCCAAGAGUUCAUAUCGACGGCGGUGUUUGGCACCUCGAUGUCGGCUCAUCACAUCCUGGGGCUGAAGUAGGUCCCAAGGGUAUGGCUGUUCGCCAUUUAAAGUGGUACGCGAGCUGGGUUUAGAACGUCGUGAGACAGUUCGGUCCCUAUCUGCCGUGGGCGCUGGAGAACUGAGGGGGGCUGCUCCUAGUACGAGAGGACCGGAGUGGACGCAUCACUGGUGUUCGGGUUGUCAUGCCAAUGGCACUGCCCGGUAGCUAAAUGCGGAAGAGAUAAGUGCUGAAAGCAUCUAAGCACGAAACUUGCCCCGAGAUGAGUUCUCCCUGAGACUUUAGGUCUCCUGAAGGAACGUUGAAGACGACGACGUUGAUAGGCCGGGUGUGUAAGCGCAGCGAUGCGUUGAGCUAACCGGUACUAAUGAACCGUGAGGCUUAACCUUACAACGCCGAAGCUGUU